rnacentral:rRNA from 1 species
GACGAACGCUGGCGGCGUGCUUAACACAUGCAAGUCGAACGAUGAAGCCGGAGCUUGCUCUGGUGAAUUAGUGGCGAACGGGUGAGUAACACGUGAGUAACCUGCCCUUGACUCUGGGAUAACUGCGGGAAACUGUAGCUAAUACCGGAUACGACCCUCGGAGGCAUCUCCUGGGGGUGGAAAGAAUUUCGGUCAAGGAUGGACUCGCGGCCUAUCAGCUAGUUGGUGAGGUAAAGGCUCACCAAGGCGACGACGGGUAGCCGGCCUGAGAGGGUGACCGGCCACACUGGGGCUGGGACACGGCCCAGACUUCUACGGGAGGCAGCAGUGGGGAAUAUUGCCCAAUGGGCGCAAGCCUGAUGCAGCAACGCCGCGUGAGGGAUGACGGCCUUCGGGUUGUAAACCUCUUUUAGCAGGGAAGAAGCGAAAGUGACGGUACCUGCAGAAAAGGCACCGGCUAACUACGUGCCAGCAGCCGCCGUAA